GAUCCUGCUCCAGCAGGGGGGAUUGGACGAGAUGAUCUUUGGAGGUCCCUUCCAGUUCCUGACAUUCUGUGAUUCUGUGCAAACUUGGUUCACGGUAGUACUUUUGCUGCUGGGAAAUAGGAGCGCUGAUGUUUGGAAGUUCCGGAUGCUGUCAGGAGUUAUUCAAGCCCAUUGGUGUUAAUUUGACCCUGGACUGGCUGCUGCUUGACAUGCUGUCUGCACAGAGAUUUUCAGGAGGAGCUGGAGCUAAUGAAACUGUGUGGGGAAGUUGUGAGCUUGAUCCGAUCUAAUCAACAGCUUGAAAAUGACCUCAAUCUCAUGGACAUCAAGAUUGGACUGCUAGCGAAGAACAGAAUGACACUGCAGAAAGAGAACUGCAGCAGAAACAUCAAGGCUUCAAGUGUUUUAAAAACAAAGCACCAGAAAAGAACCCACUCGGGACCAAGGGAAAGCAAUAGACGGUAUGCUUGAAGGCUCUGAGAACUGUUUGUCUGUUCACUUGUGGUUACAUGAGUCAUGGACUUGCACACCUUA